GCAUCCGACUGGAUUCGAACCAGCGAUGUCUCAAUGAGAAACGGAUUAUGAGUCCGGUGCCUUCGGCCACUUGGCUACAGAUGCA
rnacentral:tRNA from 1 species